rnacentral:rRNA from 1 species
UCGAGAAUUUUUCUCAAUGGGGGAAACCCUGAAGGAGCGACGCCGCGUGGAGGAUGAAGGUUUUCGGAUUGUAAACUCCUGUCAUCCGGGAGCAAUGCUGCGCGUUUAACUGACGCGUAGUUGAUAGUACCGGAAGAGGAAGAGACGGCUAACUCUGUGCCAGCAGCCGCGGUAAUACAGAGGUCUCAAGCGUUGUUCGGAUUUAUUGGGCGUAAAGGGUGCGCAGGCUGCAUGGUAAGUUUGGUGUGAAAUCCUGGGGCUUAACCCCAGAAUUGCACUGAAUACUGCCGUGCUAGAGGACUGGAGAGGAGAUUGGAAUUCACGGUGUAGCAGUGAAAUGCGUAGAUAUCGUGAGGAAGACCAGUGGCGAAGGCGAAUCUCUGGACAGUUCCUGACGCUCAUGCACGAAGGCCAGGGGAGCAAACGG